GUCUCUCCGUAGAGAGAAUACGAUAACUGAAGAGGGCUUUAUAUGCUGAGAUGAAAUUUAGUUUGUUCAAAUCCGUAAUGAAUUGCCAUCGGGAAGGGAAUUUUCUAGAGAGAUCUUAGUCAUCUAAUUUGCGGCUGGCCUACUUGACCUUUUUCUUCUUUACUCCUGAAUCUUGUUUAUAAAAAAUGCAAUGUAAUAAAAUAUAAUUUAUAUUGUAUGUAAUAUAAAUUAUUUAUACCUCUGUGAAUAUAUAUGAUAAACAAAUGAAUAUAUACAAUGUAAUGUUAUAUUACAUCAUGGGUCAUUUUCUUCCUAAACUAUAAUCAUUUUUACAGUUUUAAACCAAAAAGGUAGUGAAAAUAAGCGAGCCCAUAUUAAAUUUCUAGGAAGUAUCCCUAAAUUGUUUCCUCAGUCUUUUGACUUAUUUCACAUGGAAUCCUAACAUACGUGGUUGUCUGUUUUUCA
rnacentral:lncRNA from 1 species